GCUAUUUUGGCAGAUAAUAUGCGUUAGAUUUAGGAUUUAAUUAAAUAGAAAUAAUUUCUAUAAAUAGUA
rnacentral:tRNA from 1 species